rnacentral:rRNA from 1 species
CCUACGGGAGGCAGCAGUGGGGAAUAUUGGACAAUGGGCGCAAGCCUGAUCCAGCCAUGCCGCGUGAGUGAUGAAGGCCUUAGGGUUGUAAAGCUCUUUCGCCGAGGAAGAUAAUGACGGUACCCGGAGAAGAAGCCCCGGCUAACUUCGUGCCAGCAGCCGCGGUAAU